CAGCAAAAGACCAACCCCUACCUGGAGGAAUGGGGUUUAAUUACCGUAUUGGAAAACCUAAAGGACCUCGAGACCCACCUCCUGAAUGGAUCCGAUAGAAGACUUUUUUUUUUUUUAUACAGUGCGUCU